GAUGAACGCUAGCGAUAGGCUUAACACAUGCAAGUCGAGGGGCAGCACAAGGUUGCUUGCUAUCUGGGUGGCGACCGGCGCACGGGUGCGUAACGCGUAUGCAACUUGCCCUAUACAGGAGGAUAACCCGUCGAAAGACGGACUAAUACUGCGUAUGCUCACAACUUGGCAUCAAGUGGUGAGGAAAGAAAUUCGGUAUAGGAUAGGCAUGCGUCCCAUUAGCUUGUUGGUGAGGUAACGGCUCACCAAGGCAACGAUGGGUAGGGGAACUGAGAGGUUUAUCCCCCACACUGGUACUGAGACACGGACCAGACUCCUACGGGAGGCAGCAGUGAGGAAUAUGAGUCAAGGGGCGCGAGCCUGAACCAGCAAAGUCGCGUGAAGGAUGACUGUCUUAUGGAUUGUAAACUUCUUUUAUACGGGAAUAACAAGAGUCACGUGUGACUCCCUGCAUGUACCGUAUGAAUAAGCAUCGGCUAACUCCGU
rnacentral:rRNA from 1 species